ACUUUCGUGCAGUGGUGCAAACAUUUGAAAAGUGACUGAUACCUUCUAUUAGUUUCAGUCAAUUGGUGCUACGGUUUCAAGGAAGAUUGAAAAGUGUGAAGUAGUGCAGUGGUGCAAAGAUUUGAAGAUACAUUAAAAAGGUGUGGUGAAGCAGUCCAGUGAUGAAAAAGUUUGAAGGUAUAUUAAAAAGAACAAUAUCCAACAGUUGAAACAAUCACUUCCUUCAUUAACAUAAUGAGAAGUAAUCAUGGAAAAGAACCUGCAAAAAGAAUCUUGUAUAGAGAUUUACCAGAAGAGAAAAAGGAAGAGAUCUGUAGAAAACAAAGAGAAAGAUAUGCUAAACAAAAAGCAUCCAAAAGGAACUUGAUUCGUAUAAAUGAUAUCGAUACAUCUGUUGGUGAUCAAAUGACUACGUCGAUUGCUCAAUAUUCAAACAAUGAUGUCCAAUAUGCAGACAACAUUCAAGACUUUAGUAUUGUUUAAAGAGUAUUAAAGAGAAAGCGAAAUUCUAAUGUUCAUAUUGAUAUCGUUGAAGAGGAUUCGUCUCGUGAAGUAUGUGUUAUUCCUGGUGUUGAAGUCUGUGUCAUUAAUUCAAAGACAAAUUCAUCCAUAAACAAUGUCUCCGAAUCUUCUAAUCAACUCUUUAUCCAGCAGGUUCUCCUCUAAUCAUUUUUCGAUAUUUCUUAUUCAACCAUCAUUCUAUUCUUUUCAUCUGAGAUUUUGAAAUAUAUUAUACAAAUAGGAUCCACAUGUUUUUCGAGAGGAGUCGAGCUACAAUACAAAUAUGCUGACACCUUGUAGGGGUAAGAAACAAAUAUAAAAUAGUUGGUUCUUUUAAUUCAGUCAUCGAAUCUAGCAACUGUACCAGUAAUGUCCUUACUCAAAUAAUUUAAACAAUAUGACAAGCUUGUGUCUGUUGCUUAUUUUCAUUUUUUAACCAAAUAGGUUAGUCGCAUCACGGUUAUGCCGGAUUUAGACAAUUGUUGAAGGUAGUGCCAUCUGAAUCAUAUUCUCUGCCAUUAGUCCCCAGCUGCAUACAUUGUAAAGUAAAGUGAUUCCACCAUGAAACAACUGGCUUUUGCUGUGCUGAUGGAAAAAUUUCUUUAGCCAUAAAUGAUGUUCCUGAUCAGAUUUAUGCGUUGUUUACCUCCAACAUAGAUGAAUCUACACAUUUUAGAACAUACAUUCGAACUUAUAAUAACAAGUUCGCUUUUACAUCCUUUGGAGUGAAAUUUGAUAAAGAUCUUUGCAGGAGAAAUAGAGGAAUCUAUACUUUCAGAACUCAAGGACAGAUCUAUCACUAUAUCAACGAUUUGGUUCCUUCAAAUCGUCCUUCUUAUCUCCAGUUGUAUUUCUAUGAUACAGAACAUGAAUUAGAAAAUUGCAUUUCUGAUUCAAAUCGAAUGUAUCCAUCAAUUGUACUCAACUCAUUGAUAUUUUCUACAUCAAUCCGUAUUCUAUUUUUUUCCGCUCUCUUGGUGAUUUGCCAAAUUUGAAAAAUCAAAUAAUUCAUAUAAGAUCAGAAGCUGGCCUAGAUCAACGUGUAUUCAAUGCACCCACAUCUUCACAAGUUGCAGCAAUAUGGGUAGAAAAUGAUGCUGAAGAUCAACUAAGAGGAUGUGGCAUUUUUGUCUUUAACCAUUCUGGUGGAAGUGAUAUAGUUCAGUAAUAUUUUGGAUGUUAUGAUCCAUUGCAAUAUCCGUUGUUAUUUCCAUUUGGCGAUAUUGGUUGGCAUCAAGGGAUUGAAAGGGUUAGUAGAGGAAGGAGAUCUACAUAUAACGAAACAAAUGGAUCAAUAAAUCCUCAACAAUCAGUGACUGCAGAAGAAUUACUUGCAAGAGAACAACGAGCGUCAAACAGAAAAAGGAAGGAUCCAGUUGUUUCAUGCCGUGAAUAUUAUUGCUACAAAUUACAAAUCAGAGAAAAUGUCAGAUCAAUUUUGCUACUUUCUGGUCGACUAUUGCAACAAUUUGUAGUAGAUAUGUAUGUUAAGAUCGAGAUGUUAAGAUUAGAUUAUUUUAGGAAGAAGCAACAACAUAUUCAAUUAGAGUUAUAUCAAGGUAUUGUUGAUACAAUUACGCUUGGGGAAACAAAUGCUUCUAAUAUUGGAAAAUGGAUUAUACUGCCUUCAUCAUUUAUUGGAGGUCCAAGAGACAUGAGAAAAAGAUAUAUAGAAGCAAUGACUUUAGUUCAGCGUUAUGGCAAACCAGACGUUUUCUUAACAAUGACGUGCAAUCCAAAUUGGAAAGAAAUUACAAAUGAACUACAUCUGCAUGAGGAGAGUCAGAAUCAACCUGAUUUGGUUGCUCGAGUCUUUCGUGCAAAAUUAGAAGAAUUAAAGGAUCAAUUAUUCAAGAGGAAAAUAUUUGGUAAAGUCUCAGCAUAUGUCUACGUUAUUGAGCAUCAAAAGAGAGGUCUUCCACAUGCACAUUUUUUAAUUAUCUUAUAGAAGGAUUGGAAGGUCUAUGCGCCUGAAUCUUUUGACGAGAUCGUAUCAACAGAGAUACCUGAUAAAAAUAUAAACUUGCACUUGCAUAACGCUGUUGUAAAGCAUAUGAUGCAUGGGCCAUGUGGAGUGUUAAACCCAUCAAAUGUUUGCAUGAAAAAAAAUGGUUGUUGCAAAAGUAAUUAUCCAAAGAAUUAAGCAUUUGCUACAAUCGUUAGAAAUGAUUGCUUCCCAAUAUAUAGGCGUUCAAACAAUGGAGUAACUGUCAAAGUCAGAUGCCAAAAUUUAGAUAAUCGUUGGGUUGUUCCAUAUAAUUCAUAUCUGCUUGUAAC